CUUCACUAUUAGAGUAAUUUGUCUAUGUUGGACUCGACUAUAUAUCUCUAGUGAAACCAUAUGGAUCCAGUAUCGGUUUCAAGGAAGAUAAGUUUGCAAUAUUUGAUCAAAUCCGUACCCAAGCAGAAUAUUUGUUGAAUUUCCACAAAACACGAGCAUGUGACUAAAGUCAUCAAUGGCUAUUAUGGCUCGCAUGAUCAAAGCAUCACAAUGAGGAGAGGCUCUGAAGUGUUGAAGUUGUUGGCUGAAAUUUGAUGCAGAGACGAGGCUCUAAAGUGUUGAAGUAAGAGGCUUUUUCCAUGGUGUACAGCUUUAUCCAUGGGAGGCGCAUAAUGUUAACCUCGGAAAAUUUGGAGGUAGUCCCAUUUGGGAUCUACCUCUGCUUCGAGAUGCUCAACCUUUCCUACAUAAUGAAUGGUUUACCCAUGCAGAGGCUUCUUCCAUGAUGUUCACCUUCAUCCAUGGGAGACUUAUGAUGUCAACCUUGGCAAAUUUUAGGGCCAUCUCUUCUCCGAGGUGCUCGUACUUCCCUGCAAGGUAGAUGGUUCAUUCAUGCAGAGGCUUCUCCCAUGGUGUUCAGCUUCAUCCAUGGGAGGCUUAUGACGUCAACCUUGGAGAAUUUGGGAAAAUAUCUUCUACCGGGUGCUUAUGCUUCCUUGCAUAGUAGAUGCUUCAUUCGUGAAGAGGCUUAUAUCAUGGUGUUCAACUUUAUCUAUAGGAGGUUCAUGCUAUUAACCUUGGAGAAUUUGGAAGUAGUCCCAUUUGGAAUCCACCUCUUUUCGAGGUGCUCAUGCUUCUCUACGUGGUGGAUAGUUCAUUCAUGUAGAGACUUCUCCUAUGAUGUUUAGCUUUAUCCAUGAGAGUGUUAUGAUGACAAUCUUGAAAAUUUUGAAUAUGACUCCCUGUAUUGUGGAUGGUUUAUCUUCAUCAAUGGGAGGCUUAUGAUGUCAACCUUGAAAACUUGUAAGUUGUCCCUUUUAGGAUUCACCUUUUUUCCAAAGUGCUCAUGCUUUCCUUCACCCGAAUGGUUCAUGCAUAUAGAGGCUUUUUCAAUGGUGUUUAGUUUCAUCCAUAGAAGGCAUAUGAUGUCAAACUUGGAGAAUUUGGAUCUACCUCUUCUCUGAGGUGCUCAUGUUUCCUUAUAUGGUAAAUGGUUCAUUCACACAAAGGCUUUUCCUAUAGUGUUCAGCUUCAUCCAUGGAAGGUUUAUGAUGUCAACCUUGGAGAUUUAGAGAAGGGUUCUUUUUGUGAGAUUCUUCUCCAAAUUAGAUUGACUUCCUUGUAUAGGGUGGCUCAUUCAUGCCAAGGGCUUCCCCAUGGUGUAUGAUUCAUCCAUGUGACGUAACAUAUAGGCGAAAAUAAGGUUUUACAUUGUGAGCCUACUGUAGAAGUUCAUGCGUGUACAUAAGUUAAAUAUGAAAAUGACCUUCAAGUCCUUUAGUAAUUUCACGCCCGUCCCUCAACUUUUGACCUUGUACAUUUUGGUCCCCAUAUUUUUACUUCUAUUUCAAUCAUACUCUUGAUAAAUUGCAUUCAAAAUCUUUCAACUUUCAAAACAUCUACACUUCAACCCCCAAGCUCAUAUUUUUGUACUUUUAGUGCUUUUCUCUUCUUUUGCAUUGUUUUCCUUCAAUUUGGAAAUUUG